CUUCUUCAUCGUGACCUUUAUUAUUUAUUGAUUUAUUUGUUUGUUUUACGGAUUCGAGCCAAAUCAGGAACGAUAGAGAUAUUGGGGCGGGAAUGAUAUAGGAAGGGAGAGGAGAGAAGAGACUGUCAAAUCCAAAUAGGGCGCCGAUAGAUAAUUCGGCUCGCUCAUGCAUUCGGAUGCUUUUAAAUUAUUAUCUCAAUAUAGUGGGGCCCACAGUAUAAUUUAUUAUCUCUACUUGGAAAGGGCUAUGCUAGGUAUACGGUAUGCAACAAUAAAGGGUAAAAUGAGUAAAUGCAGCAAUGAUUUAUGGGGAAAAAAAAGACAAGCUUAGUGUAUCGCCCUCUCUUCAUCAUCUUAAGCUCAUCUUGGGCGGCCAUUGGCAUGAAUUAUUUCUGGUUAAAACAAAUAGAGGGGAAGAGGGAUUGAUUGUAAUCGUAGCAUCAACAAGUAAUUGAGGGAAUCAAUAAUCGAUAAUAUUGACAGAUUUGAAGAGGGGAAGAUCGAUUGGUUUGUAGAACAGUUCAGCUGGAAGAAUUGAUUGAAGCUAGGCGAGGAAGCAACUCAUCCACCAUGCCCCACCGUGCGAGAAAAAUUAAUCGGUAAGUGAAUUCUAAAUUAAUAAAACUUUGAAACUAAUUUGUUGUCAUUUUUGAAUUGGCAUUGGUAUUGGUAUUGCAUGCCACAGUCAGUUAAAGCCAAGAAAUGAUUUUAAGCCAAAUUGAUAACUGUAAUUGUAAAUAAAUUAGGAUCGUGUUUUUUCAUUUAUAUUGUUUCCACAAGAUCCAUUCUCACGUUUAUAUUCAGAAUCACUGUCAACAUCAAUUUUGAGAAUCAAUUUUUGCAUAAGGUUUAAAUUAGGUUUAUAUUACUGUCAAUGUUAUAUUAAUGUAAGCCUUACGCUUAUAUUAAAUUGUUUAUAUAAUAAGUCUAAUAGUAUACAUUUUGAGUAAUUAAGUAAAAGGUUAUAUUACUGUUAAUGAGACGCUUAACAGAUGACAGAAAAUCUUGAUAUCAUGGAACAUGUUAGCAGAUAGGAUGAAUCAUGUUAAUUGGCAAUUAAAAUCCAAAUUCUGUCAGUUAAAGCCAAAAAAUGAAACCAAAAAUUUUAUAGUAACUAAACAUGCAAGUUUUGAAAUUACACUAAAACCUUAGUGAUUUUUCAGAAUCAAUUUUCAGAAUUAAUUUUUGUGUAAGGUUUAUAUUAAGAAACAGAACCAGUAGACAUUACAGGCUCACAUUACUGUUAAUGUGAGGUUUAUAUUAGUAACUAAACAUGCAAAAAAGAAACCAAAAUUUUUUAGUAACUAAACAUGCAAGUAUUCAAAUUUUUUAUUUUUUUAGUUUUGAAGGGGUGUUGGAUUUUAAGCAAUAUGUUAACUUUCAUUUCAAGACUAAUAUGCUUAUAUUAAUUUUAUUAAGUAUCAAUUUUACGACUAAUAACAACAUCCAUAUACUCUAGCCUCCUAGUUGGCAUUUUAAGAAAUCAUUAAGUAUAAAUUUUAUUAAGUGAGCAUUUUUCAGUAAGAGUAGAAGGAGUUAAUCUAAUAAACUGCUUCAUGGGUUGCAGAGCUACAAACCCUUUGGACCGGACAAAGGAAGAUGAAAGCAAUAGUAGUAAUUGCAUUGACAUGCCAAUUCAAUAUAAUGUUGGAAGAAGGCAUGAGUCACGAACAUCCUUAAACUCGAAAGAGGUAAGAGUUAGAUUCAUAAUAUUAUAGUUGGUCAAUUCAUUAGAGGCACUAAAUGCUAAUAUUCGUAAAUUUAAUUGUAUGAUAUAGAGUCCAAAUGUGCGAUGUCAGUCUUUAGCGUUUAGGGCAUUAGUAAAUGAAAUGACUAAUUGUUGACGCGUGUUUUUAUGACCCCGCCUGAUCCAAUGAUGAUACGAGGAUGUGGAAUGAAUGGGUUAAUGCUAUCUAGAAGUCUUUUAAUCCAAGGAUUUAAAUUAAAAAUGAUGUUGCAGUUGCGUCACGCAGCUAUAGCUGCGUCACGUAGCUAUAUUAGACUACAUGACGUUUUUGUAUUAAACGACAUGUAGUUCUGGUACAACAAGUAAGCUUCGUCACGCAGCUAUGCUCUGGGACUUACUUCUAUAAAUAGAUCGUUUUCUCACGUUUGAGACAAGAGGGGAAUGAUUUGGAAAACCCCUAAAAACAUAUUGGGCGGCCACAUUCUCCUGCAGAGGCUCUUUUGAGUUCUUUAGAAGGAAAUUAGCCAUUAGAUAUCAAUUUUAGGUGAAUUAAAUCAAAAAAAAAAAGAGAGAAAAAUUCAAAAGACAAAAGAAAACGAAUUUGAAUCGAAUCCUUGGAAACAAAGCUUCUGAAGACCUUAACUAUCACUUGUUAAGACAUUCAAUCCGUUUACAAUCCUCAAUCUGAGGAUUAGGUAAUCUCUUUACCAUUCGUUGUAUUUUUUUUUUUUUUACUUAUUUUUGCGAUUUUAGUAAUUUAAGCUUCAUUAAAUUAUAUUAUGUUCAUAUUUGGCCAUUUUAUGAGUUUUUGAAUCAUAUUUAGAUAAAAAAAAUGAUCUCAAUAAAUCGUUUGAAAACAAGCUUGGGCCAGAACAGCCGCAUCACGCAACUGUUCAUACAAGAACAGCUGUGUCACGCAACUGUUCAUCCAAGAACAGUUCCGUCACGUAACUGUUAGUUGUGUGACGCAACUGUUUUAAGCUUCCAGAGAUGAUUUUCAUUUUUCAACAGAUCCAUCACGAGGUAUUGUGAACCCUCCCCCGAAGGCAAAAUUAUGCUAGAAUGAGGUAUGCUCACAUGUGUGUUUUAUGAAGUCGCCACCUAGUUUAUUUUUAUAAGGGAAAACUAAGAAAGAACCCUAAAUGACUCCAAUUUUAAUUAACCAAGUCUAGAUUAAUUACCCCAAAGUUUAAGGCACAAUCUACGAACCCGAGGUGGAUCCCGAGACUAUGUCAUGCUGAUUAACUAACCGAAGUGUAAAUGCCCUUCCAAGGUAAAUUGAUGCAAUUGAACCAGUAAAGUGUUUUGGUGAUUUCGACUUGCCGCUCGGGGUUAUUCAUAAUAUUAUAGUUGGUCAAUUCAUUAGAGGCACUAAAUGCUAAUAUUCGUAAAUUUAAUUGUAUGAUAUAGAGUCCAAAUGUGCGAUGUCAGUCUUUAGCGUUUAGGGCAUUAGUAAAUGAAAUGACUAAUUGUUGACGCGUGUUUUUAUGACCCCGCCUGAUCCAAUGAUGAUACGAGGAUGUGGAAUGAAUGGGUUAAUGCUAUCUAGAAGUCUUUUAAUCCAAGGAUUUAAAUUAAAAAUGAUGUUGCAGUUGCGUCACGCAGCUAUAGCUGCGUCACGUAGCUAUAUUAGACUACAUGACGUUUUUGUAUUAAACGACAUGUAGUUCUGGUACAACAAGUAAGCUGCGUCACGCAGCUAUGCUCUGUGACUUACUUCUAUAAAUAGAUCUUUUUCUCACGUUUGAGACAAGAGGGGAAUGAUUUGGAAAAACCCUAAAAACAUAUUGGGCGGCCACAUUUUCCUGCAGAGGCUCUUUUGAGUUCGUUUGAAGGAAAAUAGCCAUUAGAUAUCAAUUUUAGGUGAAUUAAAUCAAAAAAAAAAAGAGAGAAAAAUUCAAAAGACAAAAGAAAACGAAUUUGAAUCGAAUCCUUGGAAACAAAGCUUCUGAAGACCUUAACUAUCACUUGUUAAGACAUUCAAUCCGUUUACAAUCCUCAAUCUGAGGAUUAGGUAAUCUCUUUACCAUUCGUUGUAUUUUUUUUUUUUUUACUUAUUUUUGCGAUUUUAGUAAUUUAAGCUUCAUUAAAUUAUAUUAUGUUCAUAUUUGGCCAUUUUAUGAGUUUUUGAAUCAUAUUUAGAUAAAAAAAAUGAUCUCAAUAAAUCGUUUGAAAACAAGCUUGGGCCAGAACAGCCGCAUCACGCAACUGUUCAUACAAGAACAGCUGUGUCACGCAACUGUUCAUCCAAGAACAGUUCCGUCACGUAACUGUUAGUUGUGUGACGCAACUGUUUUAAGCUUCCAGAGAUGAUUUUCAUUUUUCAACAGAUCCAUCACGAGGUAUUGUGAACCCUCCCCCGAAGGCAAAAUUAUGCUAGAAUGAGGUAUGCUCACAUGUGUGUUUUAUGAAGUCGCCACCUAGUUUAUUUUUAUAAGGGAAAACUAAGAAAGAAUCCUAAAUGACUCCAAUUUUAAUUAACCUAAGUCUAGAUUAAUUACCCCAAAGUUUAAGGCACAAUCUACGAACCCGAGGUGGAUCCCGAGACUAUGUCAUGCUGAUUAACUAACCUAAGUGUGAAUGCUUUGCAAGGUAAAUUGAUGCAAUUGGACCAGUAAAGUGUUUUGGUGAUUUCGACUUGCCGCUCGGGGUUAAAUCCNN
rnacentral:lncRNA from 1 species